AUUGAACGCUGGCGGCAGGCCUAACACAUGCAAGUCGAGCGGAGCGGCGGACGGGAGCGUAAUGCCUAGGAAUCAGCCAGGUAGUGGGGGAUAACGUCCGGAAACGGGCGAUAAUACCGCAUACUAUCAGACGAGCCUAGGGCGGAUGAGCAAGUGGGUGGGGUAAAGGCCUACCAAGGCGACGAUCCGUAACUGGUCUGAGAGGAGGAUCAGUCACACUGGAACUGAGACACGGUCCAGACUCCAACGGGAGGCAGCAGUGGGGAAUAUUGGACAAUGGGGGAAAGCCUGAGCCAGCCAUGCCGCGUGUGUGAAGAAGGUCUUCGGAUUGUAAAGCACUUUAAGUUGGGAGGCGUUACCAGCAGAAUAAGCACCGGCUAACUUCGUGCCAGCAGCCGCGGUAAUAC
rnacentral:rRNA from 1 species